AUUGAACGCUGGCGGCAGGCCUAACACAUGCAAGUCGAGCGGUUGAAGGGAGCUUGCUCCUGGAUUCAGCGGCGGACGGGUGAGAAAUGCCUAGGAAUCUGCCUGGUAGUGGGGGAUAACGUCCGGAAACGGGCGCUAAUACCGCAUACGUCCUGAGGGAGAAAGUGGGGGAUCUUCGGACCUCACGCUAUCAGAUGAGCCUAGGUCGGAUUAGCUAGUUGGUGGGGGAAAGGCCUCCAAAGGCGACGAUCCGUAACUGGUCUGAGAGGAUGAUCAGUCACACUAGAACUGAGACACGGUCCAGACUCCUACGGGAGGCCGCAGUGGGGAAUAUUGGACAAUGGGCGAAAGCAUGAUCCAGCCGUGCCGCGUGUGUGAGGAAGGUCUUCGGAUUGUAAAGCACUUUAAGUUGGGAGGAAGGGCAGUAAGUUAAUACCUUGCUGUAUUGACGUUACCAACAGAAUAAGCACCGGCUAACUUCGUG
rnacentral:rRNA from 1 species